GUAGGUGGCAAGCGUUGUCCGGAAUUAUUGGGCGUAAAGCGCGCGCAGGUGGUUCUUUAAGUCUGAUGUGAAAGCCCCCGGCUCAACCGGGGAGGGUCAUUGGAAACUGGGGAACUUGAGUGCAGGAGAGGAAAGUGGAAUUCCACGUGUAGCGGUGAAAUGCGUAGAUAUGUGGAGGAACACCAGUGGCGAAGGCGACUUUCUGGCCUGUAACUGACACUGAGGCGCGAAAGCGUGGGGAGCAAACAGGGAUUAGAUACCCUGGUAGUCCACGCCGUAAACGAUGAGUGCUAAGUGUUGGGGGGGUUUCCCGCCCCUCAGUGCUGCAGCUAACGCAUUAAGCACUCCGCCUGGGGAGUACGGUCGCAAGACUA
rnacentral:rRNA from 1 species